rnacentral:rRNA from 1 species
GUUUGAUCCUGGCUCAGGACGAACGCUGGCGGCGUGCCUAACACAUGCAAGUCGAACGAAGUUACUUAGCGGAUAUUUUCUGAUGGAAGUUUAGUGUACUUAGUGGGGGACGGGUGAGUAACACGUGGGCUACCUACCCGGAUACCGGGGACAACUCUUGGAAACUACUGCUAAUACCGCAUAUACUACUCGAGACUCAUGUCUUAACUAACAUACAUGGCCUCAUGACCCCGCUAUCACUUAUGGAUGGGUCCGGGUCUGAUUAGCUAGUUGGUGGGGUAACGGCCUACCAAGGCAGGAUCACGGCCCGGCCUGAAAUGGUGAACGGCCACACUGGGACUGAGACACGGCCCAGACUCCUAUUGGAGGCAGCAGUGGGGAAUAUUGCGCAAUGGGGGAAACCCUGACGCAGGUCUCCGCCUGGGAUAACCCUUCGCGUCAGAAAGCUCUGUGUAAGGACAUCGUCCGUGUAUACCUACUGGAAAUGACGGUCCUGUACGCAGGAACCCGCUAACGUACUGCCGCACCGCGUAAGAGUAGGGCGACGUUGUCGUGAAUCUAUGGGUAGACCGUAUGCGUAUGUUAUCAGGUGUGAAAACCGCAGCUUAUGCGAGAUUGCACUUGAUACUGACAUCUUGAGGGCUGAGAGUGGACAUAGAAUUCCUGGAAUUGUACGUGAAUGUAAAUCGAGGAAUACCAGUCGAGGCGACUGUCUGGAUGACCCUGACCUAGGUGCGAAACGGGGUAGCAACAGCGAGUCAGAUACAUGCAGUCCUACGUGUAAACGAGAUACUAGUGUAGGAGUAUGACCCCUUCUGUGCGAGUCUCAGCAUAAUGAUCCGCUGGGAGUACGUCGCAAGCGGCUGAACUCAGGAUUGACGGGCGCACAAGCAGCUGAGCAUGUGUUUAAUUCAUGCAACGGAAAAUCCUUAACAGUCUUGACAUCCGAUCUAAUUUUGUGGAACCAGCAGUGCCUUAGGAGCUUGAACAGGUGCCGUGCUGGUGUCUCAGCAUCGUGCGUGCAGAGUUGAGGUUAAGUCCCGCAACGAGCGCAACCCAACCAUUAGUUGUUAACAGAUAAAGUUGAGCACUCUAAUGGGACCGCCUGUGACAAGCAGGAGGAAGGUGGGGAUGACGUCAAAUCAUCAUGCCCUUUCUGAAUUGGGUUACACACGUGCUACAAUCGAUGGUACAGAGAGGAGGGAGCCCGCGAGGGGGAGUGAAUCUCUGAAAGCCAUUUUCAGUUAGGAUUGGAGUUUGUAAGUAGAUUCCAAGAAGUAGGAAUGGGUAGUAAUUAAGAAUCAGCAUGCAGCGGUGAGUGAGUUCCCGGGCGGGCUACACACCCCCCGUCACACCCCGCAAGUCGGCAACACCCGAAGCCGGUGAGCUAACUU